AUGGUCCGACUUCUAAAAACUCCAGAGAGAAAGUCCCAAGACAUUGCCAAGGUAACGCUGUGCUGUGAGAUGUGGAAGCCCUGCAUGUCCUCAGGAGCCACUACUGCUCGCACCCAGGUGUGUCGGUGUUGGCAGCAAAGGGAGCAACUGCAGCAGUGCCUGACCACUGGAGAGCAAGACGACAGGUUGUGUCAUCAAUACUACUUUGGGAAGUUCUUUGCAAGUUUGUGUCCUACAUACAGACCUAGUCCUUCAGUUCAGAAUCUUAUUGCUUUUCUGAGACUCAAGAAUUAUAUUAAUUCUCCAAAGUUAACCCUUAGUGGCUAAACUAAAUCUUUACUUUUUCAAAUUCCAAUUUAUGUACCUAAUGACAUAAUAAAGCUCUUUUUUAUCGAUGAAUGCA
rnacentral:lncRNA from 1 species